AUACGGAGGGGGCAAGCGUUGUUCGGAAUUACUGGGCGUAAAGGGUGCGCAGGCGGCGUCGUUAGUCAGGUGUGAAAUCCCCGGGCUCAACCCGGGAACUGCACUUGAUACUGCGAUGCUAGAGUUCGGAAGAGGGUAGUGGAAUUCCCAGUGUAGAGGUGAAAUUCGUAGAUAUUGGGAAGAACACCAGUGGCGAAGGCGGCUACCUGGUCCGAUACUGACGCUGAGGCGCGAAAGCGUGGGGAGCAAACAGGAUUAGAAACCCCGGUAGUCC
rnacentral:rRNA from 1 species